UACGUAGGGGGCAAGCGUUGUCCGGAUUUAUUGGGCGUAAAGCGCGUGUAGGCGGCUCGGAAAGUCGGGUGUGAAAGCCCUGGGCUCAACCUAGGAAGUGCACUCGAAACUUCCGAGCUGGAGUUCUGGAGAGGAAGGCGGAAUUCUCGGUGUAGAGGUGAAAUUCGUAGAUAUCGAGAGGAACACCGGUGGCGAAGGCGGCCUUCUGGACAGCAACUGACGCUGAGACGCGAAAGCGUGGGGAGCAAACAGG
rnacentral:rRNA from 1 species